UUCUACAUGAGGUAUCUUAUCUUGAAUAAAUCUUUUAUAUUUACGAUGCUGCUGCAUUCUGGAUCCCCUUUAUUUGUUUCAAUAGUAAAUCCUAGCGUUUGUAAAACGCUAGGAGUUUACUUUCACUUUAAAGGGAACAUUAGCGUCAGGCGUAAAUCCCACAUAAAUUUAGCAUAGUAAAAAAUAAAUAAAUAAUGCAGCACACAUAGGUUUUGGUUUCAUUGGGAAUGCAUCAUGCAUGUAAAGUAUUCUGUGCUACAUGCUUCCUAGUAAUUACUUAGAGCCGUGCACAAUCUCAUUUACCUGUGACUUCUUAUUGGUCACUGCAGAGGCAACCAGGUAAACCAGUAUGGUAGUUUCCAAUGCUGAUACAGUAUUUUUUUAUGCAAAUCAUAUGGCUAAAAUAUACUAUGCAUUUAUAAAAAUGUACUUUAAAGUCUCUUUAAAUGUCUGUUUUUUUCUUUUGCGGGAAUGACUAUGGGCUGGAAAAUAUUCUUGCUUAUGUGUGUCUAUUACACACACAAAUUUCCCAUCUCUUACACACGCAAGGUGUUUUUGUUUGCAGCUAUGUUUCCAAGCAGUAUUAUACAAAGCUUGUUUUAUUUGCGCUGAGAUUCUUGCCCUACAUAUAUUACAUGUCAGAUUAUAAUUCAAAUUGUGUCCCAGGGCUGAGGGCAGCAGUUGUGCAGCGUGUAGAGAGCUGUAUGUUAAGCAGGGCCUAACGGCUGAUGGCUCAGAACACACAAACAACAUAUUGCCUUCACUGGAACCUGAUCUGUCUUUGUUCUACAUAUUAUUGCACUUGCUUUGCUCACUUAUAUUCAUGUUGAUAUUGCGGAAUGUAUUUUUUCUUUCUAAUGGUAGUGAGAGUCCACAAAUUCCUAUUCUUACUUAUGGGAAAUACUUCACCUGGCCACCUGGAGGAAGCAAAUACACCCCAAACAGAGCUUUCAAAUUUCCCUAUUUCCCUCCUACUUCCCCUACCCUCCCAGUAGUUCUUUGCCUCAAUCAUGGAGGUAGGCAGAGAUAGAGGUGCUCUGCAGGAUUUAAGUUCUUCAUACCCUCAAUGGAUUGUUUCCUUCAAGAGAGGGCUGGGGAGUUGUUGGAUACCAUGUAAAUUUUGGUGUGUUUUAGUUCCUGGGUGUCGCAAGGAUGUUCCUAUGCCUCUCCUAGUGAACUCAUGCUAUACCCCCUUUUCAGGCAAACUGUGUUAGUUACACUGAUUUUCUUUUCUCUUUGAACAGGACUAUUCCUGACAGAAAAAGGGCAAGUCCUGUUUUCACUUUAUAAGAAUGAUUUCUUCCCUCUUAAUGGCUAGUAGCCUAAUAGAGAUGCAGACUUGAAGGUUAAAGGGACAUUGUACACUAGAUUUGUCUUUGCAUAAAUGUUUUGUAGAUAAUCCAUUUAUACAGUGUGGAGUGUUUUAUGGAUAGUUUUGCUUAUUUUUAAAUAACAUUGCACUGAUUUUCAGACUCCUAACCAAGCCCCAAGGUUUUAGAUGUAUACUGUUGUCUACUUACUCCAGCUUGCUCCUGUUUUUGUAAUGGGUCUUUUCAUAUGAAGGAGAGGGGAGAGUAUCUGCUCUUUUUGCUCUCCAGCCCAUUUCAUUGGGUGUCCAGGCCUUUUCAACAGUGCUAAACUGGAGCUUCUAAGUAAGUUUUUUUUAAAAGGUUUUAUACUGGAUUUUUAGAGCAUUAUCUGUGCAUAUUAUUAUUUUAUAGUAGAGUCUAUUAAAUGCAGUUAUAUGUAAAUUGGUGUAUAUUGUCCCUUUAAAGUCGCUAUGUGCACAUACUCCCCUGUAACUGCAGGGGUUAUUUAAAUGUCUAUAAAAUGCUGAGAUGGUGUUGGGACCCUUCUCCUCUUUAUUGGGAAUCUGGGGACGAUAGUAUAUGUGUAGUCUCCAUAUUUUAUGUUUAGUUCAACUUACAACAGGCGGCGGCACUGGCUCUUCUGACUUUACUUGUCUUUCAGAUUCGGUAGAUGCCGUUGUUAGAUGGACCUGAUCCAGUAGUUUAUUGGGACCGGAGGGUAGGGCUGUUGUGUAACCUGUCCUGCAGCGGUAGUAGUCAAUAUUUCUUUCAUGUAAUUGGUCUUUUAAAACUUCUCAUUUAGCUGAUGAAAUUUCAAAUGACCAGCAACAUAAUAAUUUAUCCUCUUCUGAUGAGGAUCUAUCUGAUUCAGAAGAUCCUUCCUCAGACAUUGACACUGACAAAUCUACUUAUUUAUUUAAAAUAGAGUAUAUGCGUUCUUUAUUAAAAGAAGUGUUAAUUACUUUGGAUAUUGAGGUAACCAGUCCUAUUGAUGUUAAGUCUAAUAAACAUUUAAAUGCUGUUUUUAAACCUCCUGUGGUUUCCCCAGGGGUUUUUCCUAUUCCUGAGGCUAUCUGGUAUGAUUUGUAUGGAAUGGAAUAAGCCAGGUACUUCUUUUAUUCCUUCUUCAAGGUUUAAAAAAUUGUAUCCUUUACCAGCAAAAUCUAUAGAGUUUUGGGAAAAAAUCCCCAAAGUUGAUGGGGCUAUUUCUACUCUUGCUAAACGUACCACUAUUCCUAUGGAAGAUAGUACUUCCUUUAAGGAUCCUUUAGAUAGGAAGCUUGAAUCCUAUCUAAGGAAGGCCUAUUUAUAUUCAGGUCAUCUUCUCAGACCUGCUAUUUCUUAGGCUAAUGUUGCGGCUGCCUCAACUUUUUGGUUGGAGAAUUUAGCGCAACGAGAAUUGGAUCCUGACAUAUCUAGCAUUACUCGCUUACUGAAACAUGCUAAUAAUUUUAUUUGUGAUGCCAUUUUUUAUAUUAUCAAAAUUGAUGUUAGAUCCAUGUCUUUAGCUGUAUUAGCUAGAAGAGCUUUGUGGCUUAAAUUUUGGAAUGCUGAUAUGACAUCUAAAUCUAGAUUACUAUCUCUUUCUUUACAAGGUAAUAAUUUAUUUGGUUCUCAGUUGGAUUCUAUUAUUUCAACUAUCACUGGAGGAAAAGGAGUUUUUUUGCCUCAGGAUAAAAAACCUAAGGGGAAAUCUAAGGCUUCUAACCAUUUUCGUUCCUUUCAUCAGAAUAAGGAACAAAAACUCAAUCUUCCUCCCAAGGAAUCUGCUUCCAGUUGGAAGCCUUCCUCAAAUUGGAAUAAAUCCAAGCCAUUUAGGAAACCAAAGCCAGCCCCUAAAUCCGCAUGAAGGUGCGGCCCCUCAUUCCAGCUCAGCUGGUAGGGGGCAGAUUAAGGGUUUUCAAGGAUUGUUGGAUAAAAUCUGUAAAAAAAUCAUUGGAUUCAGAGCAUUGUCUCUCAAGGGUAUCAAAUAGGAUUCAAAGUAAUACCUCCUGUGAGAAGAUUUUUUCUCUCACGCAUCCCUGUAAAUCCAGUAAAAGCUCAGGCUUUUCUGAAGUGUGUUUCAGACCUGGAGUCUUCAGAGGUAAUCAUGCCAGUUCCUCCUCAGGAACAAAGUUUGGGGUUUUAUUCAAACCUAUUCAUUGUACCAAAGAAAGAAAAUUUGUUCACACCAGUUCUGGAUCUGAACAUUUUUAAUCGUUAUGUAAGAGUACCAACUUUCAAUAUGGUAUAAGGACUAUUCUGCCUUUUGUUCUGCAAGGUCAUUAUGUCCACAAUAGACUUGCAGGAUGCAUACCUUCAUUUUCCGAUUUAUCCAGAACACUAUCAGUUUCUGAGAUUCUCUUUUCUAGACAAGCAUUACCAAUUUGUUGCUCUUCCAUUUGGCCUAGCAACAGCUCCAAGAAUCUUUUCAAAGGUUCUGGGUGCCCUACUAUCUGUAAUCAGAGAACAGGGUAUUGCGGUGUUUCCUUAUUUGGACGAUAUCUUUGGUACUAGCUCAGUCUUUACAUACUGCAGAAUCUCACACGAAUCAACUAGUCUUGUUUCUUCGGAAACAUGGUUGGAGGAUCAGUUUACCAAAAAGUUUCUUGAUUCUUCAGACAAGGGUCACCUUUUUAGGUUUCCAGUUAGAUUCAGUGUCCAUGACUCUGUCUCUAACAGACAAGAGACGUUUAAAAUUGGUGUCAGCAUGCCGGCACCUUCAGUCUCAGUCAUUCCCUUCAGUGACUAUGUGCAUGGAAGUUUUAGGUCUCAUGACUGCAGCAUCGGACGCGAUCCCUUUUGCUCGUUUUCACAUGAGACCUCUACAGCUUUGCAUGCUGAAUCAAUGGUGCAGGGAUUAUACAAAGAUAUCACAAUUAAUAUCCUUGAAUCCCAAUGUACGACACUCUCUGACAUGGUGGAUAGAUCACCAUCGUUUGGUUCAAGGGACCUCUUUUGUUCGGCCAACCUGGACUGUGAUCUCAAUAGAGUCUUUCAGGUUGGGGAGCUGUUUGGGGAUCUCUGACAGCACAAGGGGUUUGGAAAUCUCAAGAGGCGAGAUUACCAAUAAAUUAUUUUAGAACUCCGUGCAAUUCUCAGGGCUCUUCAGUUUUGGCCUCUGCUAAAGAGAGAACCGUUCAUUUGUUUUCAGAUAGACAAUAUCACAACUGUGGCUUAUGUCAAUCAUCAGGGUGGGACUCGCAGCCCCCAAGCUAUGAAAGAAGUAUCUCUGAUACUUGCUUGGGCGGAAUCCAGCUCCAGUCUAAUUUCUGCGGUGCAUAUCCCAGGUGUAGACAAUUGGGAGGCGGAUUAUCUCAGCCGCCAGACUUUACAUCCAGGGGAGUGGUCUCUCCAUCCAGAUGUGUUUUCUCAGAUUGUUCAGAUGUUUGGUCUUCCAGAGAUAGAUCUCAUGGCCUCUCAUCUAAACAAGAAACUUCCCAGAUACCUGUCCAGGUCCAGGUAUGUUCAGGUGGAAGCAGUGGAUGCACUGACACUUCCUUGGUGUUCUCAUCCUGCUUACAUCUUCCCGCCUCUAGUUCUCCUUCCAAGAGUGAUCUCCAAAAUCAUCAUGGAACAGUCUUUUGUGUUGCUGGUGGCUCCAGCAUGGCCACACAGGUUUUUGGUAUGCGGAUCUGGUGCGGAAGUCCAGUUGCCCGCCUUGGUCACUUCCGUUUCGGCCGGACCUACUAUCUCAAGGUCCGUUUUUCCAUCAGGAUCUCAAAUCAUUAAAUGUGAAGGUGUGGAACGCCUUCUAUGACUUGAACGCUUAGUUCUAAGUCAUAGAGGUUUCUCUGACUCAGUGAUUAAUACUAUGUUACAAGCUCGUAAAUCUGUCUCUAGAAAGAUUUAUUAUAGAGUUUGGAAGACUUACAUUUCAUGGUGUUCUUCUCAUAAAUUCUCCUGGCAUUCUUUUAGAAUUCCUAGAAUUUUACAGUUCCUUCAGGAUGGUUUGGAUAAGGGUUUGUCUGCAAGUUCCUUGAAAGGACAAAUCUCCGCUCUUUCUGUUUUAUUUCACAGAAAGAUUGCUAUACUUCCUGAUAUUCACUGUUUUGUACAGGCUUUAGUUCGUAUUAAGCCUGUCAUUAAAUCAAUUUCUCCUCCUUGGAGUCUUAAUUUGGUUCUGAAGGCGUUACAGGCUCCUCCAUUUGAGCCUAUGCAUUCUUUGGACAUUAAACUACUUUCUUGGAAAGUGUUGUUUCUUUUGGCUAUCUCUUCUGCUAGAAGAGUUUCUGAGCUAUCUGCUCUUUCUUGUGAGUCUCCUUUUCUGAUUUUUCAUCAGGAUAAGGCAGUUUUGCAGACUUCUUUUCAAUUUUUACCUAAGGUUGUGAAUUCCAACAACAUUAGUAGAGAAAUUGUUGUCCCUUCCUUAUGUCCUAAUCCUAAGAAUUCUUUGGAGAGAUCCUUUGAAAUAUUAUGUGGAAGCUACUAAAGAUUUCAGGAAGACUUCUAGUCUAUUUGUUUUAUUUUCUGGUCCUAGGAAAGGUAAGAAGGCUUCUGCUAGUUCAUUGGCUUCUUGGUUGAAACUUUUGAUUCAUCAAGCUUAUUUGGAGUCGGGUCAGGCCCCGCCUCAGAGAAUUACAGCUCAUUCUACUAGAUCAGUUUCCACUUCGUGAGAUUUUAAGAAUGAAGCUUCAGUUGAUCAGAUUUGCAAAGCAGCGACUUGGUCCACUUUGCAUACAUUUACUAAAUUCUACAGUUUUUAUGUAUUUGCUUCUUCGGAAGCAGUUUUUGGUAGAAAAGUUCUUCAGGCAGCUGUUUCAGUUUGAUUCUUCUGCUUUUGAUUUGUUUUUUUCUUUCAAAGAUGAAAUAAACUUAUUUUUGUUUUGGGUUGUGGAUUAAUUUUUUCAGUGGAAUAUGGCUGUUUUUAUUUUUAUUCCCUCCCUCUCUAGUGACUCUUGAGUGGAAGACUCCACAUCUUGGGUAUUGAUAUCCCAUAUGUCACUAGCUCAUGGACUCUUGCCAAUUACAUUAAAGAAAACAUAAUUUAUGUAAGAACUUACCUGAUAAAUUCAUUUCUUUCAUAUUGGCAAGAGUCCAUGAGGCCAACCCUUUUUAUGGUGGUUAUGAUUUUUUGUAUAAAGCACAAUUAUUUCCAAAUUUCCUUUGUUGAUGCUUUCUACUCCUUUCUUUAUCACCCCACUGCUUGGCUAUUCGUUUAACUGAAUUGUGGGUGUGGUGAGGGGUGUAUUUAUAGGCAUUUUGAGGUUUGGGAAACUUUGCCCCUCCUGGUAGGAUUGUAUAUCCCAUAUGUCACUAGCUCAUGGACUCUUGCCAAUAUGAAAGAAAUUAAUUUAUUAGGUAAGUUCUUACAUAAAUUAUGUUUUUUUCCUGCCACAAGCAUAGUUUGGCGCGUGUCCCGCCCUAACUGCACUGCGUGAUUGCGCAUUAAAAGUGUGCAACGCUUCAACCUCUCAGAUAGCAGCGGCGGCCUGCGAGCUGAUAGGUUUUUCCAGAGGUGGUAAGACACCUCAUAUCGAACAUUAGCACAGUCUACUUGUUAUAUCAGGGUGAUUGAUAUAAAGUAACAGGUCCCCUGUGUUAACAAUGUGCAAUUGCAACCUCCCAACAUGCUGUAGUUUUGUGAUUCUGCUCCCACAUCCCAACCGGAAGUUAGUCCUUUUCCUCACGACUUUGCGGCCCUUGAGUCUGUUUCAAGGGGCUUGGGUCCAUUCCAUUUAGGAUCCUUCUGGACAGUGUCUCCGGGGUAUAGAAUAGGUUUCCAAACUCAUCCCCCAAAGGGCAGGUUUCUUCUGUUGCAGAUUUCAAGAAAGCCGUAAAAGAGAAUGUGUAGAAGAUCUGGUAUCUAUGGGCGUUAUUGUGCCCGUCCCCCUGGAAGUGUUGCGUUCUUUAAUCUACUAUUCGACCUUCUAUAACUCAAUGCAUGGAGGUAGUAGGCCUUAUGGUAGACGCUAUACAUUUUGCUUGCUUUCAUUUGAAACCUCUACAGUUAUGCAUGCUCAGACAAUGGAUGGGAAUCAUUCAGAUCUGUCUCAAGUAAUCUAUCUAGAUCCGGGUACCAGGAGUUCUCUCUCCUGGUGGAUGUCUCAGGAACCCAUCCUUUGGGGUAUGUGUUUCCUACGCCCAUCCUGGUACAUUAUUACCACAGACACGAGUCUGACAGGAUGGCGCGCGGUAUGGGGAACUCAAAGAGCCCAGGGAGUAUCUUUAACGGGGAGACGUCUCUCCCUAUAAACGUCUUGGAACUGAGGGCCAUCUUUAAUGCUCUGAUGGCACAGCCCCAGUUAUGCUCUGUCCAUUCUAUUCCAUUUCAAUCAGACAACAUUACUAUGGUGGCUUAUGUCAAUCAUCAAGGUGGAACUCACAGUCCUCCUUCAAUGGGCAGAACAAUACCAGUGCCAGAUUUUAACUAUUCACAUUCCAGACAUGGAGAACUAGGAGGCAGAUUUUUUGGAAAAAUGAAUCGUUAAUGGGGGUCUCCAGAGAUGGAGCUCAUGGUGUCUCAUCUCAAUUUCAAACUUCCGAGAUAUGGAUCUAGGUCGAGGGACCCUCAGGCAGAGUUAGUGGAUGCAUUAGCAGCUUUUUGGAGUUACUAUCUAGUUUACCUAUUCCCUCCAGUUUUUCUUCUUUGGGUAAUAACAGGAGGGAGUAUCAGUGAUUCAUUUAGCUCCUGUGUGGCCUCGUAAGAAUGUCUUUUGCUCCUUCGUGGAGUCUUCCACAGAGGCCAGACCUUCUAGCUCAGGGUCUGUUGUUCCAUCAAAAUCUCAAUUCUGUGAAGCUGACUGCUUGGAGAUUGAACAACUAAUUUUGGCUCAGAGCGGAUUCUCUGAAGCUGUGACUGAUACUCUAUAUUCGGCAUAUAAGCCUGUAACCAGACAUAUAUACCAUAAGUUAUGGAAGGAUUAUCUUUUUGUUGCACGGAUCAUGGAUUUUCUUUCCACAGAGUGAGGAUUCUGCGUAUUCCUCAGUUCUUACAAGAUGGACUGGAGUAGUGUCUUUCAGCUAGUUCUCUUAUGUGCCAGAUAUCGGCUCUCUUUAAGUUUUGUUGUAUAAGAAGCUGGCUCAUUUGCUAGAUGUUCAAUCGUUAAAUAAAUAAAUAUAUGUAUAUAUGUAUAUAUAUAUAUAUAUAUAUAUAUAGAUAGAUAGAUAGAUAGAUAUAUUAGACCAGUUUUCAAACCUAUUGCUCACCCGUGGAGCCUUAAUCUUGUUCUUUUAGAGUUUUUUUUACCAGUCUCUCUUGGAAAGUGUUUCGGAAUUUUCUGCUCUCCAAUGUAAUCCUCCGUAUCUGGUCUUUCAAACCGAUAAGGCUGUUCUUUGGACAAAGACAGCAUUUUUACCUAAGGUGGUUUCAACAAAUAAUAACAACCAGGAUAUUGUUGUUCCUUCUCUUUGUCCCAAUCCUACCUCUUCCAAAGUAUUACAUAAUAGCAUAAUUUGGAUGUCGUCAGAGCAUUAAAGUUUUAUCUUCAUGCUACCAAGGAAUUCCAUUAAUCAUACCCAUUUCUUCUGUUUUCUGGCAACAGCAAGAGCCAAAAGGCCACUGCUGUUUCUUUAUCUUUCUGGCUUCAAAGUCUGAUUCUUAUGACUUACUUAGAGGCGGGUUAGCAGCCCCCAGCCCGUGUUAUGGCUCACUCUACCUGUGCGGUAGCUACGUCUUGGGCCUUCAAGAAUGAGGCUUCAGUUGAACAGAUCUGCAAGGCUGCUACCGGGUCUUCCCUACAUACUUUCAUGAAAUUCUAUUGGUAUGAUGUGGAGGCUUCCUUUGGGAGAAAGGUUCUUCACGUUUUGGCGCCUUACAACUAGGGACUUUACCUUACCUUUAUUCCCACCCUAAUUUUUGUGUGGACUCCACAGCUUGGGUAUUAAUUUCCCAUAAGUAAGAAUAAAUUAUAUUUUUGUCUGAGUUUGUUAAACGCACAGUGUUCUUUUGAUGUAUUCAAAAGCUACUCAACAGUAUUCAGAUAUCUGCAUACAGAGCAGUCUGGUGUGCACUAUAAAUCUAUACAGCGACCGGCAACCAUCCUGCAGGCCAGAGUUAAAGAGAAAGUCAACCAUAGCGUUUUGGAAACACUAGGGUUGACGGUUGAAACAAAUAAAGGGCACUUUCAUUCAUGAAGUAUAAGAUACUUCAUGCAGAAAGUGCCUUUAUUCGUUUCAACAGAUCGCCAUUCUUAGCUGCAACGGCAGCCCAUGGCCGAAAAAUAUUUUGCUAAGAGGUGAUGUUUUCUCCUCUUAGCCAAUAGCCGUGCAGUAAAUCCGGCUUAGCACCUAUGGGAGCCGGAUUUACCACACGGCUAUUGGCUAAGAGAUGAAAACGUCACCUCUUAGCAAAAAAAUUUUUUAGCCGUGGGCUGCUGUAGCAGCUAAGAACGGUGAUCGAUGGAAACAAAUAAAGGAGCUUUAUUUGUUUCAAUUGUCAGUCCUAGCGUUUGUACAACGCUAGGAUUGACUUUCAUUUUAAAGACUUUUCCUACUCUCAAGCACAUGGUUAAAUAAAUAAAACACUGUCUAGCCCACCCUCACUCACUCACUCAAAAAGCCAAUCUAUAAUUCUGGUGUUUACAAUGUGUUUAGUAUUAACCAUGUUUAUAUUUCCUGAUUGCCCAAGUCAUGUAUUUUAACCCCUUAAGUAUUAUCACUUUCAGCUAACAUGAGCUGAGGAAUGUACUUCCGUAACGUUUACGGCGUGCCAGUCAUUUUAAACAAAGGUUGUUAGGAAUUGUUGAAUGUGACUUUUAUUUUGUAUCCUAUCAGAAGCUUGAGCACUGUUUAUUGUGUUAAUUCUAAUUAAACAAGUUUGUUUAAAUAAAUAAAAAAAA